CAAAAAGCAGGGUCUUGUUGCCUUUUUUGAAUUUGGCUCUCGUAAACUUCAGGGAUAUUUUGUUCAUUGUUAUUGGGUGAACCUCUGUAGUUAAUGGUUACUGAAGGUUCAGUAAAUGAUGGUACAUCU
rnacentral:snoRNA from 1 species